UUGAGCAAUUCCAAUCACGUCCAAAUGAAACAUCUAAAUGAUUUCACCCUAUUUUUACCUAAGCGAAUUUUUCUUAAUUUGUAUUUUCUAAAGUGGCACGCACAACUGGCAACGUUGUCAAUAGGAUCCAUGUUCGCACAGAGCUGGAGAAACACCUAUCAUGUACAUGCCAGGCCAUGACCAUGCACAUGCAUGUUUCUCUUCCCUGUCUUCAUCCGAAGAAUAUUUAAUAUUCUAGUUUUUAAUUUAAAAUGAGGGGUUGGGAUUUGAGGUUUGGGAGUAAUGAGUCCCCACUGGUUACAGGAAAUGUAUAUGCAUCAUCAAGGUCAUCAUUGUUGGAUGCAUAGUUGCAACGCUAGCCCGGUCUUACGCCGGGCAUGUAUGAAUUAAUGUUGCGCUGGAAAAAAGACACUCAAGGACACUUUACAAUAACAAAAACACAAAACAAUACGGCUUGUUGUUUUGUAAAAGUACUUUAUAUUUUUAUGUGAACAUUCAUAUUUGUUUUUUCUUUAAAUCCUCUCAAUAUGUUAUUUGGAAUAUUUUGUUAAGAAUCACUUCCGAGUCACGUGCCGUGGAUAGCGAGGAAUUAGAAAGAUCGAGAAGACAACUUGAGAGAGAGACAGAGACAGAGCUACGAUACCGUGUGGUAUACGUGAUUUAAUUUGAUCUACUUUCGGUUUACCAAGGUGCACAUUUUUUCACGGUGUUCCACGAGUAAACGUUUUUUGGACAUCA